rnacentral:misc_RNA from 1 species
CUGCUUUCUCUAUUUUCUUGUAUGUGCCUUGCUCAGAUUUCUUAUCACCAUCCCUUUUGAUUCACUUCAAUAAUGACUUUGGGGAUGCUCAUUUUUUUUUAAGCCAUGGGGAUGCUCAUUUAGUAAACAAGAAACACAUAAAAUUUUGAGAAUAUUUUGAGAGAGAUAUGGUGUGAUGGCUUUCUUUCUCAUCCUGAGGCAUCAAAUCUCUGGCUCUUCUUUUAUUUGUUCAAACCAACUUAGGACAUUUUAGAGUAAAGGUUUCAUAAACUGGGCAGGUAAUCCUGCAUCACAUAGGCAAUGAAAAGGACUAAUGGAUGAGAAUAG